rnacentral:rRNA from 1 species
GAUGAACGCUGGCGGCGUGCCUAAUACAUGCAAGUCGAGCGAACAGACGAUGAGCUUUCUCCUCUGACGUUAGCGGCUGACGGGUGAGUAACACGUGCAUAACCUACCUAUAAGACUUGGAUAACUUCGGGAAACCGGAUCUAAUACUGCAUAAUAUAUUCAACCGCAUGGUUCAAUAGUUAUUGACGGUUUUGCUGUCUCUUUUAGAUGGAUCCGCGCCGCAUUAGCUAGUUGGUAAGGUAACGGCUUACCAAGGCAACGAUGCGUAGCCGACCUGAGAGGAUGAUCAGCCACACUGGAACUGAGACGCGGUCCAGACUCCUACGGGAGGCAGCAGUGGGGAAUAUUCGGCAAUGGGCGAAAGCCUGAUGGAGCAAUACCGCGUGAGUGAAGAAGGUCUUCGGAUUGUAAAGCCCUGUUAUUGGGGAAGAAAAAAAGCGUAAUAAAAUACGGAUGUCUUGACGGUACCCAAAGAAAAAGCACCGGCUAACUACGUG